rnacentral:SRP_RNA from 1 species
GCUGGGCGUGGUGGCGCAUGCCUGUAAUCCGAGCUACUUUGGAGGCUGAGGCAGGAGAAUCACUUGAACCAGGGAGUCGGAGGUUGCAGUGAGCCGAGAUCGUGCCACUGCACUCCAGCCUGGUGACAGAGUGAGACUCUGUCUCAA